rnacentral:rRNA from 1 species
GACGAACGCUGGCGGCGUGCUUAACACAUGCAAGUCGAACGGUGAAGCGCCUUCCUUUUUGGUGGGUGUGGAUGAGUGGCGAACGGGUGAGUAACACGUGAGUAACCUGCCCCCUUCUUCUGGAUAACCGCAUGAAAGUGUGGCUAAUACGGGAUAUUCUGGGUCUGUCGCAUGAUGGGUCUGGGAAAGAUAUUGUUUCGGUGGGGGAUGGGCUCGCGGCCUAUCAGCUUGUUGGUGGGGUGAUGGCUUACCAAGGCGGUGACGGGUAGCCGGCCUGAGAGGGUGGACGGUCACACUGGGACUGAGACACGGCCCAGACGCGUACGGGAGGCAGCAGUGGGGAAUAUUGCACAAUGGGCGCAAGCCUGAUGCAGCGACGCCGCGUGAGGGAUGGAGGCCUUCGGGUUGUGAACCUCUUUCGCCAGUGAAGCAGGCCUGCCUCGUUUGUGGGUGGGUUGACGGUAGCUGGAUAAGAAGCGCCGGCUAACUACGUG